UCUAACCCCUUGCAGCAUUUUAUGAUUAGAACAAAACUUAGCUUUCAUCAUUAAGAUAUCUUGGUUGUUCACAAAAGACAAAAUGCUCUUUUAAGUAACUCAAGAAUUUCAAUUUCCAUUGGACUCAGGUCCAUAACUAAAGUGCAGUGGAUGGGGGCAGGGGAGCAAGACAAGGAAUGGGAUCCGUUGACCGGUGCCAGUUUGAAACCAUUCCGUUGACCUAACAGGUCGUCUCCUACCUACCCACAGAGCACAAGGGAACAGAGAUGCUGCACAGAAGCCCAGUUCAAGCCACAUGAUUUUCAUCCACAAAUCAGAGGAGCAGAAGACUUCCCUUGCUUCCCCCCCCCCCCAG